rnacentral:rRNA from 1 species
GACGAACGCUGGCGGCGUGCCUAAUACAUGCAAGUCGAGCGAACUUGCGGGAGCUUGCUCCCAAAAGUUAGCGGCGGACGGGUGAGUAACACGUGGGCAACCUGCCUAUAAGACUGGGAUAACUUCGGGAAGCCGGAGCUAAUACCGGAUAAUUCAUAUCUACUCAUGUAGGUAUGCUGAAAGACGGUUUCGGCUGUCCCUUAUAGAUGGGCCCGCGGCGCAUUAGCUAGUUGGUGAGGUAACGGCUCACCAAGGCGACGAUGCGUAGCCGACCUGAGAGGGUGAUCGGCCACACUGGGACUGAGACACGGCCCAGACUCCUACGGGAGGCAGCAGUAGGGAAUCUUCCGCAAUGGACGAAAGUCUGACGGAGCAACGCCGCGUGAGUGAUGAAGGUUUUCGGAUCGUAAAACUCUGUUGUUAGGGAAGAACAAGUACCAGAGUAACUGCUGGUACCUUGACGGUACCUAACCAGAAAGCCACGGCUAACUACGUGCCAGCCGCCGCCGUAAGAC